AACGCAUCUUGCACCUGUUGGUAUUCCAACAGGUACGCCUGUUUCAGUAUCAAAAACAACCCUCUUUUAAACAUUUUUUUUUUGUUUGAAAGGAUUUGAAAGUAUCUCUUUUGAAGAGAGACUUUUUAAAAUACUAAGGCCUGGAAUUUGUUCUACCUGCCUGAACUUUUUUUUAAUAUAAAGGAAAGCUCUUGCAAUUUGGACUUUUUAUUGGGGCCUCUCAAUAAAAUCAUUUUUUAAAUCUUGAUCUGAAAUCAGGUGGGAUUACCCGCUGAACUUAA
rnacentral:misc_RNA from 1 species